GUGCUCGCUUCUGCAGCACAUAUACUAAUAAAAUUGGAAUAAUAACAGAGAAGAUUAGCACGGCCCCUGCGAAAGGAUGACACAAAUUCGUGAAGCGUUCCAUAUUUUU
ensembl:snRNA U6 U6 spliceosomal RNA